rnacentral:lncRNA from 1 species
GGGAGAGAAAAGGCUGCGUGAGGGAGAGAAAAGGCUGCGUGAGGGAGAGAAAAGGCUGCGUGAGGGAGGGAGAGAGGGGGAGGGAGCGAGAGUCAAGAGGUGGAGCGUUAUACGAGGGUCUCUGAACCACUGUAAUCUGAUUUAAGCUGCUUAUAGAAGAGGGGAGAGAGGGAGAGAGAGAGACCGGGAUGCUGAAAGAGAUGCAAAGAGAGAUUGGAUGCACAAUUACACUGACUAAAUCAGUGCACUUGGACUUCAAAAUGUAAGGUUUUUCCGAUCGCUUUGUUGGGAACCUUGUUGUCCAGUGAUAGUGGUUUUGGGAGAUCUAUGGAGCGAUGCUGGGAGGUUGACUGCUUUGGACUGGCAAUGUGCUGGGGCUUUCAUUCUCUCUGCUGGUUCAAUCAGGGAUGUCACCUGAGUGCUGGGAAGAUGAUCUGAAUCAAACUCUUGUUCUUGCUCAUUAGGCGGAUGAAAACCUUCACCCCUUAAACCUCCAGCCUUUUCUGACUUCUUAAGUCACUGGGAUGGUUGAUUGAAACGUUGACCUUUUUAUUCCCUGAUCGGAAUGAUGGAUUUGUACUUUGAUGGACUUUUGGUGGACUCUAACCCCUGACUUCUAAGUUAACCCCUGACAUGCUGAUAGUGUGGUGGUGUUCGGCCCUCCUGACCUACGUGUCCCUCUACCUCUCCCUGUCCUUCCUGCGUAG